AUGAGUUUUUCCAUUAACAAGAAUUUCUUAAAAUAAUAAUGUAUGAAUAUCAUUUGGAAAGUGACAUGAAAUGUUGUUAAAAAGUGAUGCAUACAAGUGUUUCAGAAGUCUGUCUAGGAAUAGAACAACAACUGAAGCUGACCAGUUGAUGGAAGAUACUGCAGAGUUUGGCAGGGAAAUAACCCAAGACAGCAAAGGGGCUCUUUUGGCGCAUUUACCAAGAGGACUUACAUGGCCACAAAUUCAUGAGAUCAUGCAGGAGCCGUACAGUAUAACAGCAGUACAAGUUCUAUAAAAGAUCCACGACCUACUGAAGCCCAGCUAAUUAACAAAAAAGUUUUUAAAAACUGUAAUUUUAUCCCACCUGGGUACUUAUAAUUUACUAAGCUGCCUUCACAAGUUUUAGACUUGCAAUUAUAUUUUAAACUGUCACUUGGAAAGUAAUACAUGUACAUGCAUUAUGUUCUGAAUUUCUUUGAACAAUAAAAUUAUAUAAAAGUAUUUUAAUGAAAUUCAGCACCUAAAUUGCAUUAAAGUGAAAGUAGCUGAGAAAAAUAGUAUCCUUGUGCUCAUGGGCAGCUACAUAUAUUGUGACAAACAUGAAGUAGCUAAAAUAACUUAAAUUUUUCAUUUUGUUUCUUGUAUAUCGUUUGUACAGGGUUCGUGAAUUGUUACUGUAUAUUACUUGACUUGCUUGUAUUUUGUUACUUUGAAUACAUGUUGUUAAGGUUGCAUUAUACUUUUUAACUUUUAAAGUAGCGCCUGUUCUGUUAUGUAAGGGCCUGAUUUAUGAUAAUGGACCUAGAGGCUUUGUAAGCAUGUAUUAAACAACACUUGUUUGAUCUGAAUAAUUUGUUAAAUAAAUGUAACACAAUUUGUAAUCUGAUGUUAUAUUUUGAUGAAUUGUGAACAAAAUAAUACAUCGAAGAAACUAA